AUAUGCCCCGAUAGUCUAGCGGCCAAGGACAUUGCCCUGGACAGGCAGAAACCCGGGUUCAAAUCCCGGUCGG
rnacentral:tRNA from 1 species